ensembl:snRNA U6 U6 spliceosomal RNA
GUGCUUGUUUUGGUAACACCUAUGCACCUAUACUAAAAUUAGAAUGACACAAAAGUUAGCAUGGCCCCUAUGCAAGGAUGACACACGAGUUUGUGAAACUUUCCAUGCUGAG